rnacentral:tRNA from 1 species
GGCUUAUAAAGUAAACUUAGGUUUUAUAUUGAAAAUAGGAUUUUAGUGUGUAUAUGAGCCU